rnacentral:rRNA from 1 species
UAAUUUAUCUGCCAGUGAUUUUUAGAGGCCGCAGUAAUUUGACUGUGCUAAGGUAGCAUAAUAAUUAGUUUUUUAAUUGAAAGCUAGAAUGAAUGAUUGGACGAGAAAAAAUCUAUUAAAUUAUAAUAAUAUGAAUUUUAUUUUUAAAUUAAAAAGUUUAAUUAAUUUUAAAAGACGAGAAGACCCUAUAGAAUUUAAUAAAUUAGUAUAAAAUUAUAAGUAUAAAAUUUUAUUAUUAAUAUAUUAAUUUAUUUAAUUGGGGUGAUUAAAAAAUUUAAAUAACUUUUUUAUAUUAAGUUCAAUAAUUUUUGUAUAUUUGAUCCUUUAGGAAAAUUAGAUAAAAUUACCUUAGGGAUAACAGCGUAAUUUUUUUGGAAAGUUCAUAUUUAUAGAAAAGAUUGCGACCUCGAUGUUGGAUUAAGAUAUAAUUUAAUGUAGAAGUUAAGUGAAUUAAGUCUGUUCGACUUUUAAAAUCUUACAUGAUC